GACACGUGGUAUCCUGUCUGAAUAUGGGGGGCCCAUCCUCCAAGGCUAAAUACUCCUGACUGACCGAUAGUGAACCAGUACCGUGAGGGAAAGGCGAAAAGAACCCCGGCGAGGGGAGUGAAAAAGAACCUGAAACCGUGUACGUACAAGCAGUGGGAGCACGCUUAGGCGUGUGACUGCGUACCUUUUGUAUAAUGGGUCAGCGACUUAUAUUCUGUAGCAAGGUUAACCGAAUAGGGGAGCCGAAGGGAAACCGAGUCUUAACUGGGCGUUAAGUUGCAGGGUAUAGACCCGAAACCCGGUGAUCUAGCCAUGGGCAGGUUGAAGGUUGGGUAACACUAACUGGAGGACCGAACCGACUAAUGUUGAAAAAUUAGCGGAUGACUUGUGGCUGGGGGUGAAAGGCCAAUCAAACCGGGAGAUAGCUGGUUCUCCCCGAAAGCUAUUUAGGUAGCGCCUCGUGAAUUCAUCUCCGGGGGUAGAGCACUGUUUCGGCAAGGGGGUCAUCCCGACUUACCAACCCGAUGCAAACUGCGAAUACCGGAGAAUGUUAUCACGGGAGACACACGGCGGGUGCUAACGUCCGUCGUGAAGAGGGAAACAACCCAGACCGCCAGCUAAGGUCCCAAAGUCAUGGUUAAGUGGGAAACGAUGUGGGAAGGCCCAGACAGCCAGGAUGUUGGCUUAGAAGCAGCCAUCAUUUAAAGAAAGCGUAAUAGCUCACUGGUCGAGUCGGCCUGCGCGGAAGAUGUAACGGGGCUAAACCAUGCACCGAAGCUGCGGCAGCGACGCUUAUGCGUUGUUGGGUAGGGGAGCGUUCUGUAAGCCUGCGAAGGUGUGCUGUGAGGCAUGCUGGAGGUAUCAGAAGUGCGAAUGCUGACAUAAGUAACGAUAAAGCGGGUGAAAAGCCCGCUCGCCGGAAGACCAAGGGUUCCUGUCCAACGUUAAUCGGGGCAGGGUGAGUCGACCCCUAAGGCGAGGCCGAAAGGCGUAGUCGAUGGGAAACAGGUUAAUAUUCCUGUACUUGGUGUUACUGCGAAGGGGGGACGGAGAAGGCUAUGUUGGCCGGGCGACGGUUGUCCCGGUUUAAGCGUGUAGGCUGGUUUUCCAGGCAAAUCCGGAAAAUCAAGGCUGAGGCGUGAUGACGAGGCACUACGGUGCUGAAGCAACAAAUGCCCUGCUUCCAGGAAAAGCCUCUAAGCAUCAGGUAACAUCAAAUCGUACCCCAAACCGACACAGGUGGUCAGGUAGAGAAUACCAAGGCGCUUGAGAGAACUCGGGUGAAGGAACUAGGCAAAAUGGUGCCGUAACUUCGGGAGAAGGCACGCUGAUAUGUAGGUGAAGUCCCUUGCGGAUGGAGCUGAAAUCAGUCGAAGAUACCAGCUGGCUGCAACUGUUUAUUAAAAACACAGCACUGUGCAAACACGAAAGUGGACGUAUACGGUGUGACGCCUGCCCGGUGCCGGAAGGUUAAUUGAUGGGGUCAGCGCAAGCGAAGCUCUUGAUCGAAGCCCCGGUAAACGGCGGCCGUAACUAUAACGGUCCUAAGGUAGCGAAAUUCCUUGUCGGGUAAGUUCCGACCUGCACGAAUGGCGUAAUGAUGGCCAGGCUGUCUCCACCCGAGACUCAGUGAAAUUGAACUCGCUGUGAAGAUGCAGUGUACCCGCGGCAAGACGGAAAGACCCCGUGAACCUUUACUAUAGCUUGACACUGAACAUUGAGCCUUGAUGUGUAGGAUAGGUGGGAGGCUUUGAAGUGUGGACGCCAGUCUGCAUGGAGCCGGCCUUGAAAUACCACCCUUUAAUGUUUGAUGUUCUAACGUGGACCCGUGAUCCGGGUUGCGGACAGUGUCUGGUGGGUAGUUUGACUGGGGCGGUCUCCUCCUAAAGAGUAACGGAGGAGCACGAAGGUUGGCUAAUCCUGGUCGGACAUCAGGAGGUUAGUGCAAUGGCAUAAGCCAGCUUGACUGCGAGCGUGACGGCGCGAGCAGGUGCGAAAGCAGGUCAUAGUGAUCCGGUGGUUCUGAAUGGAAGGGCCAUCGCUCAACGGAUAAAAGGUACUCCGGGGAUAACAGGCUGAUACCGCCCAAGAGUUCAUAUCGACGGCGGUGUUUGGCACCUCGAUGUCGGCUCAUCACAUCCUGGGGCUGAAGUAGGUCCCAAGGGUAUGGCUGUUCGCCAUUUAAAGUGGUACGCGAGCUGGGUUUAGAACGUCGUGAGACAGUUCGGUCCCUAUCUGCCGUGGGCGCUGGAGAACUGAGGGGGGCUGCUCCUAGUACGAGAGGACCGGAGUGGACGCAUCACUGGUGUUCGGGUUGUCAUGCCAAUGGCACUGCCCGGUAGCUAAAUGCGGAAGAGAUAAGUGCUGAAAGCAUCUAAGCACGAAACUUGCCCCGAGAUGAGUUCUCCCUGACCCUUUAAGGGUCCUGAAGGAACGUUGAAGACGACGACGUUGAUAGGCCGGGUGUGUAAGCGCAGCGAUGCGUUGAGCUAACCGGUACUAAUGAACCGUGAGG
rnacentral:rRNA from 1 species